CCUACGGGUGGCAGCAGUGAGGAAUAUUGGUCAAUGUUCUUACUCCUUAACCAUCCAAUUCUCUUUAUUUCAUAAUUCCCUACUUUUCUUAACCCUCUUUUUCCGUUUAUCACGGGCGGGGACGUGUCCCGGCCCGGAGAGUACCCGGAGAAAAAGCAUCGGCUAACUCCGUGCCAGCAGCCGCGGUAAUACGGGGGAUGCGAGCGUUAUUCGGAUUUAUUGGGUUUAAAGGGUGCGUAGGCGGGCUUUUAAGUCAGCGGUAAAAAUUCGGGGCUCAACCCCGUCCGGCCGUUGAAACUGGGGGCCUUGAGUGAGCGAGAAGAAUGCGGAAUGCGUGGUGUAGCGGUGAAAUGCAUAGAUAUCACGCAGAACCCCGAUUGCGAAGGCAGCCUUCCGGCGCCCUACUGACGCUGAGGCACGAAAGUGCGGGGAUCGAACAGGAUUAGAUACCCUUGUAGUC
rnacentral:rRNA from 1 species